UACGUAGGGGGCAACCGUUGUCCGGAUUUAUUGGGCGUAAAGAGCGUGUAGGCGGCCAUACAGGUCAGCUGUGAAAACUCGAGGCUCAACCUCGAGACGUCGGUUGAAACCGUAUGGCUAGAGUCCGGAAGAGGAGAGUGGAAUUCCCGGUGUAGCGGUGAAAUGCGCAGAUAUCGGGAAGAACACCCGUGGCGAAGGCGGCUCUCUGGGACGGUACUGACGCUGAGACGCGAAAGCGUGGGAGCGAACAGG
rnacentral:rRNA from 1 species